UAGGGUAACUGUACCAGUUUUCGGCAGGCUAGUGCAGCAGUUUCACAAAAAUUGCUCACACAUCAAUAUUUUUCAUUAUUUUUCUUGAAAGUGUUGUUAUUCUGGUUGAUAAACUAUCAUAGUAUGUUACAAUAUUUUUAAUUUGCCGGUUCAAAGUCCUUUUUCAUAAAUAUUCGUGAAAAUGCAAACAUUGAUUUUGCUCCUAUUUUCGGCAGUUUGUUCCUAUUUUCGGCAGGCUGUGUUCCUAUUUUCGGCAGCGCGAAUACGGGUCAGAAAAUGUUUGUAUCAAUGUGAAUAUGUACAAAAAAAUGUUUAAAGCAAUUUAACACUCUUACUUUCCUAAGAUUGGUGUUAAAAAGCACUUUAAUUAUUAAUUUUAUGUUGCUUAUUUUGGCCCGUUUUGACAGCCAUUUUGAUGCGACGUUUAAACAGAGCAGCCAUUGACAGUUUGAUGGUUAUAGCGUACGGUGCGAACUGGCUUACAAAUAUUUAUUUUUCUCUUAAGUUAGUGCAUUGUUUGUCGUAAAAUUGGUGAUAUUUGGUACAAGAAAGGUCAUAUUAUGUGUCGACAUACGCAUUGUAGUGUUCUGAUCAAUUUUAAAAGGAAUAUUCAGCCAAAUUCAAAGUGUGUUAUUGUUCCGAGUUUCGGCACGAGCCCACAACAUUGAGCUGUCAAAAAUGAACAUUUACUGUGUACCUAUUUUCGGCAGCAUUUAAAGUGAAAAAUAACCUGUUUAUCGUGAUUUUAAAAUUCCGAACAAGUUAGAAUAAAUUAAAUAAGCAUAAAAUCUUUAAUAUACACCACUUUUUCAUUGUUUUACUGUUCUGAUUCUCUUAAUCACAAAACCUGCCGAACGAGUGGCUGACAGCAAAGCUGCCGAAAAAAAGCACAAUUUAUUUGAUAUUUUGGAAAAUACGUAAUGAAAUGGUGUGAAACUUCGUAUGUGAAUAUCAAAUAAGUACACCUUCACUACAAAAUUGUAUUUUGUGAAAUUUUUUACCGCAUUUGUGCAGAAUUUCACGUUUUUAGCUACCCUGCCGAAAAUAGGUACACUGCCGAAAACUGGUACAGUUACCCUAUGUUGUAAAUGAAAAGUUCGAUUUGCGUUUGAUUGUUUUUUCCACGUUAAUGUUAGGCGAAGUCUUAGGAUUUCCGUAUGAUCUCAUGCGAUUGCUUAAAUGUGUUUGCCCGGUGUUACCCCAUAUUUCGCCACCGAUUGUUAUACCUUCCUGUAAUUUUGUUCUAAUAUAAUCACUCUUGCAUUUUAGGUGCAGCGGUUGCUUAUUCUGAAAACGAGAAUUGUCAAAAGUCUCAGUUCGCGCAUGGAUGCAUAACAUGGAAUGAUGUUGUAGUGAAUGCAAUUUUUCUUCUUAGGCUCGCUCACUAUUGUGCUCGUCGGUCACGAUCCAUAGAUACGGUAUGGUUGAUUGAUGCAAACGACUCCGACCAGUGCUGAACGACGCAUAAGAGCUAGUGGUGGUCUAUACGACUCGAAAUCGAUGCACCAUCGAAUCGAGGUCGCGUAUGCCUUCUUGCACCUGCUGAUCUUCCGGGUAUAGUCGAACUGCGACCUAUUGCAUCCGCUGGACCCACGGGACGAUUCAUUUAAUGACCGGACCCAGAGUCGGGGGCGAGCCAAUCGGAAUCAAAUUCCGUGGUUGCAGCGAGUUUGGUUCGACCCGUCAGGCCACAAAACGUUUAGGUGGGUCCGGGCCAUAAGCCUACUUUGGCCCAACCUGACCCGAACUCGCUGCUGCAACGGGUCCGCUCAUGCUUUCUUGCAUGUACUGAACAUACUUACACCUUACGGUUCGACCCGGACGACUCAGGGUCGUUUACGGAUGACUCCGACUCGGUAGACCUCUUGAUAAAAAUCGAAAACUGUCUAGGUUUUGUACAGCCCAUCCUAGUAGUUGUUGUUGUUAGUAUUGUUUAGAGAGGCUUUGGCUCCUGCGGAGUUCUUUCGCCUAAAACCCCAACCUAGUAGUACUACGCUAUCUACUCAUGAGCGACGAAUGUUUUUCGACGAACAAGUUCACCGGUACGGAUGAUCGUUUUGCAUAACAGCACCCCCCUGCCUACCGAUAACUACCAAAAAACUAAAGCUCCUGCCGAAAACUACCGUUAAAAUUAUAGUGCUCCUGCCGAUAACCGCCAAAAUAAGCUGGCCACAUUGAAUACUGCAACUCCUAUGCUCUGCUGUAAUUCUAGGUUUGAACCCACAAUGGGCAUAUUGUUAAGUUCAUUUCUUCAAAUGCCCUACACAUCGAACUACGAGGAUUGUUGUAGCCGUUAUCAGUUCGACGACAAAGAACACUGAGCUAUUGUUGAAAUAAUGUCCUUUCGUUUCCGGUAAAAAACCUAUUGUUAUGUCCGAAAAACUGUUCAGAAUAUGUGACAAACUGUUUGAAUCCCCUAUACCAGGGGCCUCCAAACUUUUCAGCUCGCGGGCCGCAUUGCUUCAAAAAUAACUAUGUUGAGAGCCGUUUGACGCUACCUUUAACUGAUGAGUGAACGUUUAAAUCUCGUUUUUAUAAUAAAAUACCAACGAUACUUGUACAGUUUCGUGUUACUAAAGCUUGA